rnacentral:lncRNA from 1 species
CUUUUUGAAGGCAGCGCCUGUUGUCAGGGUGGCAGAGCUGGCAAUUUACUGGUUUAUCAACGAAAAAAUAUUGAAUAAUGAAGAUGUAAGAAAAAUUCCUGUGCACACGUUAUUGAAGUUUAAAAGUUUUCUAGGGAGCCUUAUAAUAUUCAGAAGAGGACAGAGAAGGAGACUUCCAGAGCUGAAAGGGU